rnacentral:tRNA from 1 species
ACCGGUGUAGCUCAACGGUAGAGCACGAAGGUGGCCGCAAAAGCAGCCUUCGGGUGGUACCAGGUUCAAUUCCUGGCGCCGGUG